UUUUAAUAUAAUUGUCAACAAAUUUUUAAUAAAAUUAUAAACUAGCUCUUAUUAAAUCCUAAAUAAGUCUUAAUAAAAUCCUAAAUAAAUUCUAAUUAAAUCUUAGAUAAAAUCUUAAUCAAAUCCUAAUCAAAUCUUAAUGAAGUCAUAAACCAAUUCUAAUAAAAUCUUAAAUAUAUCCUUAAUCCUAAUCAAAUUCUAAUUAAAUCUUAGACCAAAUCUUAAUCUAAUCUUAAAUCCUAAUCAAACCUUAGACCAAACCUUAAUUAAAUCUAAUCAAAAUUUAAUCAAAUCUUAG
rnacentral:lncRNA from 1 species